rnacentral:rRNA from 1 species
GCGCACGCUGGCGGCAGGCCUAACACAUGCAAGUCGAACGAACCUUUCGGGGUUAGUGGCGGACGGGUGAGUAACACGUGGGAACGUGCCUUUAGGUUCGGAAUAACUCAGGGAAACUUGUGCUAAUACCGAAUGUGCCCUUCGGGGGAAAGAUUAAUCGCCUUUAGAGCGGCCCGCGUCUGAUUAGCUAGUUGGUUGAGGUAAUGGCUCACCAAGGCGACGAUCAGUAGCUGGUCUGAGAGGAUGAUCAGCCACAUUGGGACUGAGACACGGCCCAAACUCCUACGGGAGGCAGCAGUGGGGAAUCUUGCGCAAUGGGCGAAAGCCUGACGCAGCCAUGCCGCGUGAAUGAUGAAGGUCUUAGGAUUGUAAAAUUCUUUCACCGGGGACGAUAAUGACGGUACCCGGAGAAGAAGCCCCGGCUAACUUCGUG